rnacentral:rRNA from 1 species
UGCGUAGGCGGCUUUCUAAGUCGGAUGUGAAAACUCUGGGCUCAACCCAGAGCCUGCAUCUGAAACUGGAGAGCUAGGGUUCUGGAGGGGAAAGCGGAAUUCCUGGUGUAGCGGUGAAAUGCGUAGAUAUCAGGAGGAACACCGGUGGCGAAGGCGGCUUUCUGGACAGAUACCGACGCUGAGGCACGAAAGCUAGGGGGAGCAAACA